UAGAGUUUGAUCCUGGCUCAGGAUGAACGCUGGCGGCGUGCCUAAUACAUGCAAGUCGAGCGCGUCUUUCGGGGGCUUGCCCCCGUAAAGACGAGCGGCGGACGGGUGAGUAACACGUGGGCAACCUGCCCAUCAGACCGGGAUAACCACGGGAAACCGUGGCUAAUACCGGAUAAUCCUUUGCCACGCAGGUGGCAAAGUUGAAAGGCGGCUUCGGCUGUCACUGAUGGAUGGGCCUGCGGCGCAUUAGCUGGUUGGUGGGGUAACGGCCCACCAAGGCGACGAUGCGUAGCCGACCUGAGAGGGUGAUCGGCCACACUGGGACUGAGACACGGCCCAGACUCCUACGGGACGCAGCA
rnacentral:rRNA from 1 species